rnacentral:lncRNA from 1 species
GGCCUUUGCUGCUGCCGAGUGAAUUCAAUGGUAACUAGUUUGAACUGUCGCCCCACCGAUCCAGCAGUUCCUGCUAUUUACUGAGGCCUGGUGAUACUUGUGAUGAUGAUAUCGCGUCAAUCUAUCCAACCAUAGCGCUUAAAUGUCCCUUCUGCGUACCUUGGCUUGAAUCCCAGUGAGCAUAACCUGGCGCAUUCUCGUAAAGUCAGAGGCGAAGCUCCGUAGGCCUUGUUAGUCUCCCCCAGACAAGGUACUGUCGGCCGAAGGAAGGGCCUCAUCGCCCAGAACAAGAUCCGGCGGCUAUAGAUGACAAUUAAGUGCAGUAUCUCAGCAAUGUUGUCCCAUUUGACGUCGUUCGUCGCCGACGGCUUGGUCAGUCACGGCAUCUCGGCGGUGGAGAUGCGAAGAUGUUUCCGGCCGUAUAAAAAUAGGCUUUGCGACCCCACAGGGCAUGCUACAUUUCCUUGGAUCUCAAGUCUAGAGCCGCAAAUUUUUACGCCGUGCCGGCGACCUUGGGCACAAGUAUAUGCACUCACCCAUUGACGCUAAAACUGUGAUCAGCGGUGCUGUUACCGUUGGCAUGUAUGAUCCUCUUGGGAUCUCAUUCGAUCGAAAAAUCCACGCGAACUCCCUCCAAUUUAUCCGGCAGGAACGAGGCACGGAGCCUUCCCAAGUAAAAUGAGGGUGGGUCUGAUCAGGUAUUCAUCUCAUCGUCAACGGCAUGUAGGUGGCGAAGUUGACCUUCGUCAAAAUUACCAGCGGAAAGUGGAGACGAUUCGGGAAGGUGAAGGAGCGGAGCAGAAGGCGAAGCACUCAGAAGGCGAAACAGUCUUCACCCAACUGUUCCAGGGAGUCCAUAAGACUCCGGAUUGUCCAAGCUUGAGGCAGGCAUAGUCUUGGAGUUUGACCCGCUCGAAGGGUCGUUAUCCCCCUAUCCUCUCCGUGUUCCGGCAUCUCUCCUGAGCUCUUCUUCAGUCUGCCUCUCUAUGAUCUCCCUUGUAUUGCUCCGUCCUCCUUCGGGCUGUUCGGUUGAAGUAUCCUUUGUUCCGUUGUGAGUCCUCACUUGUUACAGCGGCUUUACGUCCUCGCGACCUUGCCAGGCGCCCCCCCCCCCCCCCCCCC